AACUGAUGUGGCGCAUUGGUAGUGCGACUGCCUGCGACGCAGAAGGUUCCGGGUUCGACUCCCGGUGGGUUA